AGCGGUUGGAGGCGGCGGAGGAGGGGCAUUCUUUGGUAGAAAAACUGGGGUCACAAAUGGCGAGGCAGGAAACCCAGCGCCAUCUCAUCCACCGCCCCUGGCAGUGA
rnacentral:SRP_RNA from 1 species